rnacentral:rRNA from 1 species
GACGAACCGUGCGACCGUUGUUCGGAUUCACUGGGCUUAAAGGGCGCGUAGGCGGCUUGCCAAGUCAGGGGUGAAAUCUUUCGGCUCAACCGGAAAAGUGCUUCUGAUACUGGCGGGCUGGAGGAGGGUAGGGGCGGGCGGAACUUCCGGUGGAGCGGUGAAAUGCGUAGAUAUCGGAAGGAACGCCGGUGGCGAAAGCGGCCCGCUGGACCCUUUCUGACGCUGAUGCGCGAAAGCCAGGGGAGCAAACGGG